rnacentral:rRNA from 1 species
CUUGAACGCUGGCGGCAGACUUAACACAUGCAAGUCGAACGAGUGGCGGACGGGUGAGUAAUGCUUGGGACUCUAGCUUAUGGAGGGGGAUAAAUACGGGAAACUGUAGCUAAUACCGCGUACCAUAGGAUGAGCCCAAGUGGGAAUAGGUAGUUGGUGAGGGAAAGGCUCACCAAGCCGACGAUCUCUAGCCGGUCUGAGAGGCUGACCAGCCACACGUGGACUGAGAGCCGGCCCAGACUCCUACGGGAUGCAGCAGGGGGGAAUAUUGCGCAAUGGGGGCAAGCUGAAGCAGCCAAGCCGCGUGAAUGAAGAAGGCCUUCGGGUUGUAAAGUUCUUUCGGUAGCGAGGCGUUAACUACAGAAGAAGCACCGGCUAACUCCGUGCCAGCAGCCGCGGUAAUUC